rnacentral:rRNA from 1 species
AGAGCGAACGCUGGCGGCGUGCUUAACACAUGCAAGUCGAGUGCGCAGUUUUCUGUAGCAAUACAGGGAAUGGGCGCACGGCGCACGGGUGAGUAACACGUGGGCAACCUGCCCUCCAAAGGGGGAUAACCCGCCGAAAGGCGGGCUAAUACCGCAUGACAUCGCGAUGGCUUCGGCCGAUGCGAUCAAAGGCCGAAAGGUCGUUGGAGGAGGGGCCCGCGCCCGAUUAGCUCGUUGGUGAGGUAACGGCUCACCAAGGCUAUGAUCGGUA